GUCCACGCCGUAAACUAUGCUGACUAGCUAUUAGGAGCAUCGACCCUUUUAGUAGCGAAGCUAACGCGUUAAGUCAGCCGCCUGGGGAGUACGACCGCAAGGUUAAACUCAAAGGAAUAGACGGGGCUCGCACAAGCGGUGGAACAUGAGGUUUAAUUCGACAAUAAGCGAAGAACCUUACCAGGGUUCACCCUAUUGGAAUCCCGUAGAAAUAUGGGAGUGCCCGCAAGGGAGCCAUUAGGCCGGUGGUGCACGGUUGUCGU
rnacentral:rRNA from 1 species